rnacentral:rRNA from 1 species
GCAUAUCAAUAAGCGGAGGUAUAAGAAACCAACAGAGGAUUGCCUCAGUAACGGCGAGUGAAGCGGCAACAGCUCAAAUUUGAAAUCUGGCUCUUUCAGGGUUCGAGUUGUAAUUUGUAGAAGAUGCUUUGGGUGUGGCUCCGGUCUAAGUUCCUUGGAACAGGACGUCAUAGAGGGUGAGAAUCCCGUAUGUGACUGGCCGCCUUCGCCCGUGUAAAGCUCUUUCGACGAGUCGAGUUGUUUGGGAAUGCAGCUCAAAAUGGGUGGUAAAUUUCAUCUAAAGCUAAAUAUUGGCCAGAGACCGAUAGCGCACAAGUAGAGUGAUCGAAAGAUGAAAAGCACUUUGGAAAGAGAGUUAAACAGUACGUGAAAUUGUUGAAAGGGAAGCGCUUGCAACCAGACUUGCGCGCAGUUAAUCAUCUGGUGUUCUCACUGGUGCACUUUUCUGCGUUCAGGCCAGCAUCGGUUCAGGUGGUGGGAUAAAGGCCUUGGGAAUGUAGCUUCUUUCGGGGAGUGUUAUAGCCCUCGGUGCAAUGCCGCCUAUCUGGACCGAGGACCGCGCUUCGGCUAGGAUGCUGGCGUAAUGGUUGUAAGCGACCCGUCUUGAAACACGGACCAAGGAGUCUAACAUCUAUGCGAGUGUUUGGGUGUCAAACCCAUACGCGUAAUGAAAGUGAACGGAGGUGAGAACCCUUAAGGGUGCAUCAUCGACCGAUCCUGAUGUCUUCGGAUGGAUUUGAGUAAGAGCAUAGCUGUUGGGACCCGAAAGAUGGUGAACUAUGCCUGAAUAGGGUGAAGCCAGAGGAAACUCUGGUGGAGGCUCGCAGCGGUUCUGACGUGCAAAUCGAUCGUCAAAUUUGGGUAUAGGGGCGAAAGACUAAUCGAACCAUCUAGUAGCUAGUUCCUGCCGA